GUGCUUUCUUUGGCAGCACAUAUACUAAAAUUGGAACGAUACAGACAAGAUUAGCAUGGCCCCUGCACAAGGAUGAGGAAAGUUACAGACAUUAAAAACCAUUUCUC